UACGUAGGGAGCAAGCGUUGUCCGGAAUCAUUGGGCGUAAAGCGCGCGUAGGUGGCCACAUAAGUCCGUUGUGAAAGUCAAAGGCUCAACCUUUGAAAGCCGAUGGAUACUGUGUGGCUAGAGUACGGAAGAGGCGAGUGGAAUUCCUGGUGUAGCGGUGGAAUGCGCAGAUAUCAGGAGGAACACCAGUGGCGAAGGCGGUUGCCUGGGGCGUUGCUGACGCUGAGGCGCGAAAGCGUGGGGAGCGAUCCGG
rnacentral:rRNA from 1 species